CCUACGGGAGGCAGCAGUGGGGAAUAUUGGGCAAUGGAGGCAACUCUGACCCAGCAACGCCGCGUGAAUGAUGAAGGUCUUCGGAUUGUAAAGUUCUGUGAUGGGGGAUGAACACAAUGACGGUACCCCAAUAGCAAGCCACGGCUAACUACGUGCCAGCAGCCGCGGUAAUACGUAGGUGGCAAGCGUUAUCCGGAAUGACUGGGCGGAAAGCGUGCGUAGGUGGGUUAGUAAGUUGGCGGUGUAAUUCGGGGGCUCAACCACAGCGCUACCGCCAAAACUAUUAGACUAGAGUUCAGGGGAGGUAGGUGGAAUGCUUGGUGUAGGGGUGGAAUGCGUAGAGAUUAGGAGGAACACCAGGGGCGAAGGCGACUUACUGGACCGUAACUGACACUGAGGCGCGAAAGCGUGGGGAGCAAACAGGAUUAGAUACCCUUGUAGUC
rnacentral:rRNA from 1 species